rnacentral:tRNA from 1 species
CUCCGCGUGGCCGAGCAGCUCAGGCCUCCGCCUUCUAAGCGGACCGACGCAGGUGCAAAUCCUGCCGCGGGGACCA